rnacentral:rRNA from 1 species
GAAUUGUUUGAUCCCUGGCUCAGAAUGAACGUUGGCCGGCGUGGAUUAGGCAUGCAAGUCGAGCGCGAUAUGUAGCCAAUACAUGGAGAGCGGCGAAAGGGAGAGUAAUACGUAGGUAUCUACCCUCGGGUCUGGGAUAGCAGCGGGAAACUGCUGGUAAUACCAGAUAACGUCUCCAGACCAAAGGUGUGAUUCCACCUGAGGAGGAGCCUACGGCCUAUUAGCUUGUUGGUAGGGUAACGGCCUACCAAGGCAAAGAUGGGUAUGGGGUGUGAGAGCAUGCCCCCACUCACUGGGACUGAGACACUGCCCAGACACCUACGGGUGGCUGCAGUCGAGAAUCUUCGGCAAUGGGCGAAAGCCUGACCGAGCGACGCCGCGUGCGGGAUGAAGGCCUUCGGGUUGUAAACCGCUGUCGUAGUGGAGGAAAUGUAGGAGAGUUAUCUCUUCUACUUGACUAAUACUAGGAGGAAGGACCGGCUAAUCUCGUGCCAGCAGCCGCGGUAAUACGAGAGGUCCAAACGUUAUUCGGAUUUACUGGGCUUAAAGAGUUCGUAGGCGGCUAAGUAAGUGGGGUGUGAAAUCCCUCGGCUCAACCGAGGAACUGCGCUCCAAACUACUUAGCUAGAGGAAGAUAGAGGUAAGCGGAACAGAUGGUGGAGCGGUGAAAUGCGUUGAUAUCAUCUGGAACACCGGAGGCGAAGGCGGCUUACUGGGUCUUUUCUGACGCUGAGGAACGAAAGCUAGGGGAGCAAACGGGAUUAGGUACCCCGGUAGUCCUAGCCGUAAACGAUGAGCACUGGACCGGAGCUCUGCACAGGGUUUCGGUCGUAGCGAAAGUGUUAAGUGCUCCGC